UUAAUUCUGUAAAGUGUUAAGUGAAAGUUUUAAACCAUGAGUUGACCUUUGGCCUGUGAAGCUGAAUAAAUUGUUCAAAUCUUACCCCUAAAUGUCUCAUUACACAGCCUGAGCUGGCACUGGAAAGCAGGGCUGGACGAGUGGUGUGUAGGUCCACGCCUGGGAUCUGAACCCACAAACCCCACGUCGGGCCACCAAAGCGGAGCAUGUGAACUUAACCACUAUGCCACUCAGCCGGCCCCUGGAUUUUGAUCUUCAGUCAUCGUCUUGACUAAAGUUUAAGCACUCAGAAAUAGUUCCUAUCAGUCCAACAGACGUCUUUACCAAUUUAGGGCUGUGUAUUUGACCAGGACUACGGGAAGGAAACGUUAAUCCUAAAAGAAAAAAAAUCACUGAAAUGAUACUGGACUGUGAAAUGGAUUGAAGUGAGGAAGAUGUGCGCGCUCUGAACCCCUGAAGCAUGAGCCUCACUCCGUCCAACAGAAGGUGGUGCUGAGAUCUGCAGAAGCCAAAUGAGGAAAUUAUGAUGAAAUAUUUGACCUACAUCGGGAAAUGUCAAUUAAAAUAAGAAGUGCUCUAAAAUUCAUGCUCCGAAAAUCGCCAGAGGAAAAGAAUACGGGUUUGUAGUGAAAAUCUCUCUUUCACAAGAAAAGGCAUUAGAGAUAAAUUUCUUGAUUUUCCCCUGUGUUUGAUCUCCAUACAACUGACAUCCUUGUUUACGUGAUGGCUUCAGCAAGGCAUGAAUUUCAGAGUUUCAGUCACUCAUGUGUGGUUUAUGUUAACUUCCUAGACUGAGUCUCAAUAUGUCAUCUCCGAAGAGACGGGGCCUCUCCCUUUAGAUUGGUCUCUCACCUCUCUGUCUGAUGCGUGGAGCACACUCCAUUUCUUUCCAAGGAUCAAAGCUCUGUUUUGCAACCUUGCGGAUUUUGUAUCUGCCCAGGGGAGUUAUAGUUGUGGCAACUCAUGGAGAAGAGAAAAAAGGAAGUGAACACAAACACACACGUGAACAAACUGGGGGGCCGUCUUGCAGAAACAUUGGAAACUGG
rnacentral:lncRNA from 1 species